GACGAACGCUGGCGGCGUGCUUAACACAUGCAAGUCGAACGGAAAGGCCCUGCUUUUGUGGGGUGCUCGAGUGGCGAACGGGUGAGUAACACGUGAGUAACCUGCCCUUGACUUUGGGAUAACUUCAGGAAACUGGGGCUAAUACCGGAUAGGAGCUCCUGCUGCAUGGUGGGGGUUGGAAAGUUUCGGCGGUUGGGGAUGGACUCGCGGCUUAUCAGCUUGUUGGGGGGGUAGUGGCUUACCAAGGCUUUGACGGGUAGCCGGCCUGAGAGGGUGACCGGCCACAUUGGGACUGAGAUACGGCCCAGACUCCUACGGGAGGCAGAAGUGGGGAAUAUUGCACAAUGGGCGGAAGCCUGAUGCAGCAACGCCGCGUGCGGGAUGACGGCCUUCGGGUUGUAAACCGCUUUCGCCUGUGACGAAGCGUGAGUGACGGUAAUGGGUAAAGAAGCACCGGCUAACUACGUG
rnacentral:rRNA from 1 species